GAUGAACGCUGGCGGCGUGCCUAAUACAUGCAAGUCGAGCGAACGGACGAGAAGCUUGCUUCUCUGAUGUUAGCGGCGGACGGGUGAGUAACACGUGGAUAACCUACCUAUAAGACUGGGAUAACUUCGGGAAACCGGAGCUAAUACCGGAUGAUAUUUUGAACCGCAUGGUUCAAAAGUGAAAGACGGUCUUGCUGUCACUUAUAGAUGGAUCCGCGCUGCAUUAGCUAGUUGGUAAGGUAACGGCUUACCAAGGCAACGAUGCAUAGCCGACCUGAGAGGGUGAUCGGCCACACUGGAACUGAGACACGGUCCAGACUCCUACGGGAGGCAGCAGUAGGGAAGCUUCCGCAAUGGGCGGAAGCAUUACGGAGCAACGCCGCGUGAGUUAUGAAGGUCUUCGGAUCGUAAAACUCUGUUAUUAGGGAAGAACAUAUGUGUAAGUAACUGUGCACAUCUUGACGGUACCUAAUCAGAAAGCCACGGCUAACUACGUG
rnacentral:rRNA from 1 species